UCCCAGACCAGCGGCACCAGCAUGACUCACGAUCAUCUGUUGAAACAGAUGGUGAAGUUUAAAAUAUCUGAAAUUUAUCACUCAAUAGGCUGAAUGCAAAUUCUCAGCAGGCAGAACUCGCAUUUCUGAAGUGUCGCCAGGUCACGCUUCUUCUGCUGGGCUGGUCCACACCUGGGUGACGGCAGUUACCUCCUAAGUCAGCCGCCCUUAAUCCAUCUGACCCACCCCGUGUACACUCCAGAUACUUUUCAUCACUGUCUGACCACAGGGUUCUUUUCUCAGCUCACCGGAACAGGCGUGAAGUAAUGUUAUAUAGAACUCUGAUUCGCUCUUUCGCUGGCCUCAAAGGAAGCAUCUUUAAUGCUGAGAUAGAUGCUCCUGGCCCACAGCUGAAUGCACAGGACACAGAAAGGUUACCCAGACCUGCAGCUGAGCGUCUGCAUGCAAGCUGCUGAGCCUCCCAGCAGUGAGCAGCUGCUCUGCCUCAUACAGUAAUAUGUUCUGCGCAGAAGUUUGGAGCCCACAGAGAUAUGUAAUCACAAACCUCUCAUUUCCUUGGUACAAAGAAUGUGGUUUUUCUAAACACAGAGGCCACAUCAGGGGCUUUUCAGGGUACACACUGUCUCCCAUAUUCUUGUGGGUGUUUCUCCUGUCCCUAGGAAAGAGACUGUACAGCCUGGUGUGCCGUGCUCCAGACAAACAUGCAAGAGUCACAUCCACAUGUGCUGUGUGGAGUUUUCGUCCACGCCCAGAAUUACCUCCAUGUUUGCAAAAGCUGAUGAAGAGCUCUGAGUCUUUGCUAUAGUUCGAAUGUGGCUUUUUUCUCAAAGGUUCAUGGGUCACAGACUAUGUCCCCAGUGUGACAAGGCAAAGAGAUGGUGAGAUUUUUACUAGGUGGAAACCACUGAGAGGCUGGUUGGGGAUGUGGUCCCAAAGGGCAGAGAUAGUUCUCAGAGAACUCAUAGUUUAUUAUUUCCAGAGAGCUGUUAUGAAACCAGCAAGACUGGUCUCCUACUCUGGCUUUCUGUCUUGCCAUGGCAUUUCUCCCUCCUGCACAGGCUUCUGCCACAGUGCUGCCAGCCAGAUGUGAUGUAGCCAAGGAAAACCUGUCCAGAGUUGGCACUGUGUUAUUUCAACUUUAGCCUCCAAAUCUGUGCACUUAAAUAAACCUCUUUUCCUUAUAACCUACCAAUCCUCGUGUAUCUUGUUAUACUACUGAAAAUGGACUAAUUCAGUCUUUAUGCUUUCUUAACUUAGCAGUGAGAUACACCUUGUUUUUUUUAGACUGCUAUAACAAAAUACCUUACACUAGAUGUCUUUAAAACCAUAGAAGGCCCACAUGGCAGUGAACACCUGUAAUCCUAGCACCAUGGGUUUGAGGCCAGCUUGGGUUACAUAAUGAACUCAGAGCCAGCCUGAACUACACAGCAAGACUCUGUCUCAAAAAAAAAAAAAAAAAAAAGCAACGUUUUUUUUACAGUUUUGGAGGCCAGGAAGUCCAAAAUCAAGGUGCCAGAAAAUUCAGUGAUGGUGAGGACUCAUUUCUCAGUUCAUAAAUGAUCCCUUCUCCUUGUGUCCUCACAUAAAGGCAUGGGCAGUGCAACUCUCUGAGGCCCCUUUAUAAGAUUACUUACCCUUCUCAAAAGCCUCACCUCCUGAAGCCUUCAUAUUAAUAACUAGGUUUCAACCUUAUCUAUUAAUUCUGAUCUCUCACACCAAACCUGCUCCUCUCACAGGACCUCCAUAGAGAGGAACUUCAUCCUUCCAUUUGCUCAAACCACAUUAAACACCCUCCUGCAGAAUAUCCUGUUGUCUCUACCUUCAAAAACGUGAUUCUGUAUUGACAAGAAGCCAGUCUUCAUGAUGACCAUUGUGGCCCAGCCUCUCCUACCUCUCUUCUAGAUUACUGCAGAGCCUCCUAAGGGGUUUUCCUUGUUGGUUUGGCUUUUUGAGACAGGGUCUCUCUCCAGAGCCCGAGCCAGUCUUGAAAUUGUGUAAACCAGUGUUAUGGUUUGAUAACUAGUGGUCAACUUAACGCCAGCUGGAUUAUAUCAGCAUGCAUUGAGAGAAGAUGCUCCACCUGAGGAGGGUUGCCAGGAUAAAUAGGUGGAGAAGAAGAGAGGUGUGGAGAGGGAUUGAGGCGUUAUGGAGGCAUUGUUGGUUCUUCUACGAGUUGCUGUCUGAGCUGUUGGUUCUCCUGGAGAAGCUUUGGUCUUCACAUUGAGCAUUGCUUCCUGGCUCCGGAGGGGAAGACAUGUGCUGCCUGGUCGCCAGGAUGAACUCGUCACGCUGCUUCCUGGCAUGUACCCGACUGUGCUUGUCAUCGGAGGAGCUCGGGGCCUCCGUGUCGCUGAGGACAGCUGUGGUUCCAUUCAGGACAGCCCCACUCUUUGUUGUGAGUAUGACUUCUCGGCUCCAGUGUAGAACCCUCAUCCCACUAGCACAGCUCCUUCAUCCUGCUGGCAUAGACUUUCUGGCUUCCACCGCUGACCCUUGAGUCUUCCCGGCACGAAUCCAUAAAAGAGACUGGCGUGAGUCCUUGUGGGCCCUGGACUUCCAGUUGGACUCGUGGAGGCGUUGUCCUGAGCUCUGGGUUUUUAUCUGGACUCAUGUGGGACAUUACCGUGGGGUUUAGGCUCUUGACUUAUAUAAUCUAUGUCAUUGGUGUUGCAGAUAGAUUUCCUGCAUUCUCCUGUAUUAACUUCCGGUGACCAUUAUAAAAAUAUUAUAAACUCCA